rnacentral:misc_RNA from 1 species
CGAAGUCGUUAUCUCAACCCGUAAGGGAGGGAGGCGCCUAAGGCAGGGCUGGUGACUGGGGUGAAGUCGUAACAAGGUAGCCGUACCGGAAGGUGCGGCUGGAUCACCUCCUUAUAGGGAGACCUAUUUAACUCUAGACUGAAACAAUUCAGUAAUAAGUCAGAGUUAAGUCAUCCCAAGGUCGAACGAAGUUUAUUGAUAAAGCUUUCAAACUAAGUCAGGUUCUAAAACAAGCCAAAUAGUAAGCAAAUAAAACAGCGAACUAAAAAAGGGCUAUUAGCUCAGUUGGUUAGAGCGCACGGCUGAUAACCGUGAGGUCUCUGGUUCAAGUCCAGAAUGGCCCACUUGAGAACACCGAGUCAAACCGAAAGGCUAGGCUAGGAAACUCUGGGGAUAUAGCUCAGUUGGUAGAGCGCCUGCUUUGCACGCAGGAAGUCAGGAGUUCGAAUCUCCUUAUCUCCACCAAACUACUAACAGAAAGCCAACGAAAGCAAAGCGAGAGUUUAGCAACUUAUCUAGUUCAAGGAAGUAAAACUUUCAAGAAACUAGAGAGACUGCUAAAUUCUAGCGAGAGCGAAGAAUUUAGAAAGAACCUUGAAAACUGCAUAGUAAUAGUAAUAAGAAGCAAGUAGAUCCGAAGUAGAAACUCCGAAAGGAGACACAGAG